GGGAGUGUGGCGGAAUGGUAGACGCUACGGAUUUAAAAUCCGUUGACUUUAAACGGUCGUGGGGGUUCAAGUCCCCCCCCUCCCA
rnacentral:tRNA from 1 species